rnacentral:rRNA from 1 species
AUUGAACGCUGGCGGAAUGCUUUACACAUGCAAGUCGAACGGCAGCACGGGGCAACCUGGUGGCGAGUGGCGAACGGGUGGGUAAUAUAUCGGAACGUGCCCAAUCGUGGGGGAUAACGUAGCGAAAGUUACGCUAAUACCGCAUACGAUCUACGGAUGAAAGCGGGGGAUCGCAAGACCUCGCGCGAAUGGAGCGGCCGAUAUCAGAUUAGGUAGUUGGUGGGGUAAAGGCUCACCAAGCCAACGAUCUGUAGCUGGUCUGAGAGGACGACCAGCCACACUGGAACUGAGACACGGUCCAGACUCCUACGGGAGGCAGCAGUGGGGAAUUUGGACAAUGGGCGCAAGCCUGAUCCAGCCAUUCCGCGUGCAGGAUGAAGGCCUCGGUUGUAAACUGCUUUGUUACGGAACGAAACGGUACUGCCCUAAUACGGCAGGCUAAUGACGGUACCGUAAGAAUAAGACACCGGCUAACUAACGUGCCAGCAGCCGCGGUAA